UUUUGUUCGGUCUAAUAAAAUUUGAAGGCGAAGGAGGGAGGGUAUCUGACGAUAUCUCUGUAGGAACCGAGAAAUCGCCCAUCUCGUUGUUCAGCACAAUGCCUGUGGAACGAGACAAAACCCCGCCUCCAAAGGCGUAAUUCACAGUCGUCGUCAUUGAUACCACAUUUCUAUCAUUAUCUACUAUGCAAAAAUGACUCGUGCCAUGGUCUUGAAGCUGACUCCACCUAGCAUGUAGUAUAUGGAAGGAAAGGUUGUGUUGUCCAAAAUCUUCUCUUGAAUAUUCUUUGCGAACGAGGGUGAAAGCAUAUCAGCUACUGUCUUACUUAUAUUAACAUAAUCCGGGUCUCCCAAAUCCAUCCGAAGAGCAAACAUGUGCUUUAAUGCUUCAAUGAAACGAUGUAAUCCCAACGCUCCUU
rnacentral:lncRNA from 1 species